rnacentral:rRNA from 1 species
GACUUGGAUCGGUUGACCCUACUCGGUUACGAGUUGUGUGUCGAUCUGUUAUCCUGUCAUCCUUGUAUGUUUUUUUUUAUUAAAAAGCAUGCAUCGUUUACUUUGAACAAAUUAGAGUGUUUCAAGCAGGCAGUUAUCGCUUUGAAUACAUUAGCAUGGAAUAAUCGUUUAGGGCUUCGGUUCUAUUUCGUUGGUUUCGAGAGCUGAAGUA